GACGAACGCUGGCGGCGUGCCUAACACAUGCAAGUCGAACGCUAAGGGCUGGUCUUUGUGCGAACUGGGUGUGCAGCGAACGGGAGAGUCACGUGUGUGGACUCUGCCUUUCAGCGGGGGACAAUAUUUGGAAACGAAUUCUAAUACCGCAUAAACUCUUGCAACACAAUUUUUAUGGUUGAAAUAUGCCAUUGCAUCACUCAAAGAUGAUCCCGCGUUGUAUUAGCUAGUUGGUGAGGUAAAGGCUCACCAAGGCGAUGAUACAUAGCCGCCCUGAGAGGGUGAGUGGCCAGAUUGGGACGGAGACACGGCCCAAACUCCUAGGGGAGGGAGCAGGAGGGAAUCUUCGGGCAGGGGCGAAAGUCUGACCGAGCAACGCGGCGUGAGGGAAGAAGGUUGUCGGGUCGGAAAAGUCUGUUGGUAGAGAGGAACGUGGGUGAGAGUGGAAAGCUCAGCAAGUGACGGUAACGACCCAGAAAGCGACGGCUAACUACGUG
rnacentral:rRNA from 1 species